CCCCAUGCUCCCUACCCCCCAAUAAAUAAAGUCUCAGCUCCACCUCAAGGUGCUGGCACAGGGCAGGAAGCCCUCACUGAGGAGAACCCAGGGCUGCUGCCUCCUUCAUAAUUCUCCCCACACUGGACCUGGCCCUGGGUCAGUGCCAAACAGGGCCUCUGUGGCACUGGUGCUCUGAUGGGGCCAGGGUGAGAUGUGGGACCUGCUGCCACUGGAGGAGUUUAGGAUGGGGAGCUGGCCUCCCCCGUGGCCAAUCAUGGUCCGAGGCUGCCCAGGGCAGGCUCAGAUGGGGCCUGCAUUGGGGACACUGUGCGCAUCCCAGGUCGGGGCCCAGCCUGGGCCACAGCUAGAUGUGCAGCUCCGUGUCAUCAGGUGGCUCCAGGCCAGACUCUUGGCUGAGUGCUGAGGCUGAGGGGCCCUGGGCCACCCCAAAUGGUGAGACAACGGGUGAGCGAGCAGCCAGAGGAGACAGUGAGGGAGAGAAGCUGGGGGACAUGGCAGCUGAGGAUAGGGAACCUUCGUGGCUGAUGGGGGAGCGGUGAGAAGCUGGUGGGAAGAUGGCCCGGGUUGCAGCCGUGCUGGCUGGCUUAGGGGGCACAGACUUGGCUCCUGGGUGGGCCACAGCAGUGAUGAGGGGUGGUGGGUCAAUACGGGGAGCCGGGGGACAUGGCCGAGCUUCAUCCUUGAGCCGGGCAAUCUCUGUGAAGACACUGGCCAGCGGCUGGAACUGAGGGCACCAGCUCAGCAGGUAGUCCCAGUUAUAGCUGCCACGGAGCUCCUCCUCACCAGCCACAAUGGCCGUCAGUGCACCUGCCACACAUGGCUUGCCAUCUGCUGGGAAGCCAUAGUCCCCAGUGGGUGCAGGGCUCAGGCCACAGCCCCCCAGGAAG
rnacentral:lncRNA from 1 species